rnacentral:misc_RNA from 1 species
GGUAGUAAAAGUCGUAACAAGGUUUCCGUAGGUGAACCUGCGGAAGGAUCAUUAUUGUAUAACCGAGGUGCGAGGGCUGUCGCUGACCCGAAAGGUCGUGCACGCCCGAGUGCCCUCACACACAUCCAUCUCACCCCUAUGUGCACCACCGCGUGGGUCCCCCUUUGGCUUGUUCGGAGGGGGGCUUACGUUUUCACACAAACUUUGUAUGCAGUGUAGAAUGUAUUUUUUGUUUUUGCGAUCACGCAAUCAAUACAACUUUUAACAACGGAUCUCUUGGCUCUC